GAAAGGGCAAACCGGCAGUGAUGUCGGGACGCAAAACUAUAGGGUCUCUCUGAGAUAGCCAGUUGCCGAA
rnacentral:ncRNA from 1 species